rnacentral:rRNA from 1 species
GGAUGAACGCUGGCGGCGUGCCUAAUACAUGCAAGUCGAGCGAACAGACGAGGAGCUUGCUCCUCUGACGUUAGCGGCGGACGGGUGAGUAACACGUGGAUAACCUACCUAUAAGACUGGGAUAACUUCGGGAAACCGGAGCUAAUACCGGAUAAUAUAUUGAACCGCAUGGUUCAAUAGUGAAAGACGGUUUUGCUGUCACUUAUAGAUGGAUCCGCGCCGCAUUAGCUAGUUGGUAAGGUAACGGCUUACCAAGGCAACGAUGCGUGGCCGACCUGAGAGGGUGAUCGGCCACACUGGAACUGAGACACGGUCCAGACUCCUACGGGAGGCAGCAGUAGGGAAUCUUCCGCAAUGGGCGAAAGCUUGACGGAGCAACGCCGCGUGAGUGAUGAAGGUCUUCGGAUCGUAAAACUCUGUUAUUAGGGAAGAACAAAUGUGUAAGUAACUAUGCACGUCUUGACGGUACCUAAUCAGAAAGCCACGGCUAACUACGUG